UACGUAGGGUGCAAGCGUUGUCCGGAAUUAUUGGGCGUAAAGAGCUCGUAGGCGGUUUGUCGCGUCUGCUGUGAAAACCCGAGGCUCAACCUCGGGCCUGCAGUGGGUACGGGCAGACUAGAGUGCGGUAGGGGAGAGUGGAAUUCCUGGUGUAGCGGUGGAAUGCGCAGAUAUCAGGAGGAACACCUAUUGCGAAGGCGGCUCGCUGGGACGUUACUGACGCUGAGACGCGAAAGCGUGGGGAGCAAACAGG
rnacentral:rRNA from 1 species